UAGUCGUAACAAGGUAGCCGUAUUUCAGAGCCAGUUCCUCGGGAAACACCUCCAUCCGCUCGAUCGCCUCGGUCGGAAUUUCAGCUAUCUCCGUGAAGCUCGAUACGCGCCGCCCGUUCAGCAGCGUGACGGGGUUGCCUUGAUCCCCACGACUGCUUGUUACCUGCGGCCCCAGCGCCUGUAUGAGCUCCCCGAUAUUGUCAGAUCCGUAGGCAUUGAGGUCGAGCGAACUGAACGUGCGUUCCGGUGGAAUGUCCCCGAUCACCGAACCCCUAGGGCGCCGCCCCGAAACAAGGAUGUCCCCAUCACUCAUAGGCGUCGGGACGCUGGCGGUUGGCGUUGGCAGUUGGGGUGCUUCCGACUUUUUGGACGGAACCAGGUCGCCCUUAAAUUGCUUUUCGAGCUCCCGCUGGAUAUCGGACGGUAGGGGGUUGCCGUUGUCGUCAAGGAACUGAGACGGUGGAGGCGAGGCUUUGGCCGGCUUGGUUUGAGUGUCACCGGCUAUAGGCGGCUGAGCCGAAGGAAGAUUCUGCAAAGCAAUCGGUGCAGCCGUUACGGUCCCGCUCACUAGGGCCGCGACUGCCCCAAAUCCCACCACCACGAUUUUCAUUGGCUGGAGCCACCCCCGUACCACUGAUCUGUCGCGAUCCAGGCCAGGAAGUCGGCACUUAAUGCCUGGAUACCAUCCGACUCCUUAUCGUGCCCAGUCCGAGUAAGCAGCCACCGUUCAAUCGGCUGACCACGCCGGACGGCUACCUUGUUACGACUA
rnacentral:misc_RNA from 1 species